rnacentral:rRNA from 1 species
GACGAACCGUGCGAACGUUGUUCGGAAUCACUGGGCUUAAAGGGCGCGUAGGCGGGUGUGCAAGUCUGUGGUGAAAGCCUCCAGCUUAACUGGAGAAGUGCCGUGGAUACUGCGCAUCUUGAGGAGGGUAGGGGCAUCUGGAACGGUCGGUGGAGCGGUGAAAUGCGCAGAUAUCAGGAGGAACACCCGUAGCGAAGGCGGCACUCUGGGCCGAUACUGACACUGAGGAGCGCAAGCGUGGGGAGCGAACAGG